AACGCACCUUGCGCCCUCUGGUAUUCCGGAGGGCAUGCCUGUCUGAGUGUCGCGCACCUCUCAACCCAUCCGGUUCGUCCGCUGGGCUUGGAACGUGGCCGGCGGGCGCUCGAUACAGAGCGCCCCGGCCGAAAUGUAUGCGGAGCGCCAAUCUCGCACCGUUACGCGGUCUAUCCGAGCGUUGUAGACCCCUCGCUCGGGAUCGCUGGCGGAUACGUGGCUCCCACUGCCGAAAGGCCCUGACUAUCGACCUCAGAUCAAGCAGGACUACCCGCUGAACUUAA
rnacentral:misc_RNA from 1 species